rnacentral:rRNA from 1 species
GUACCGUGAGGGAAAGGCGAAAAGAACCCCGGCGAGGGGAGUGAAAAAGAACCUGAAACCGUGUACGUACAAGCAGUGGGAGCACGCUUAGGCGUGUGACUGCGUACCUUUUGUAUAAUGGGUCAGCGACUUAUAUUCUGUAGCAAGGUUAACCGAAUAGGGGAGCCGAAGGGAAACCGAGUCUUAACUGGGCGUUAAGUUGCAGGGUAUAGACCCGAAACCCGGUGAUCUAGCCAUGGGCAGGUUGAAGGUUGGGUAACACUAACUGGAGGACCGAACCGACUAAUGUUGAAAAAUUAGCGGAUGACUUGUGGCUGGGGGUGAAAGGCCAAUCAAACCGGGAGAUAGCUGGUUCUCCCCGAAAGCUAUUUAGGUAGCGCCUCGUGAAUUCAUCUCCGGGGGUAGAGCACUGUUUCGGCAAGGGGGUCAUCCCGACUUACCAACCCGAUGCAAACUGCGAAUACCGGAGAAUGUUAUCACGGGAGACACACGGCGGGUGCUAACGUCCGUCGUGAAGAGGGAAACAACCCAGACCGCCAGCUAAGGUCCCAAAGUCAUGGUUAAGUGGGAAACGAUGUGGGAAGGCCCAGACAGCCAGGAUGUUGGCUUAGAAGCAGCCAUCAUUUAAAGAAAGCGUAAUAGCUCACUGGUCGAGUCGGCCUGCGCGGAAGAUGUAACGGGGCUAAACCAUGCACCGAAGCUGCGGCAGCGACGCUGAUGCGUUGUUGGGUAGGGGAGCGUUCUGUAAGCCUGUGA